UCCUCCCCCAAUGGUCUUGU
rnacentral:misc_RNA from 1 species